AACGAACGCUGGCGGCAUGCUUAACACAUGCAAGUCGAACGGGACCGCCGGGUCUAGUGGCGCACCGGUUGGUGACGCGGGGGAACCUGCCCUUGGGUUCGCAAUAACUCCCGGGAUGGGCUGCUGAUAGCGGGUAAUGUCUUCCAACCAAAGUUUGGUGGCCUUCGGGUGGGCGCGCGUUGGAUUGGUCUGUUGGUAGGGUAAAAGCCUACCAAGGGGUCGAUGCAUAGCUGGUCUGAGAGGAUGAUCAGCCACACUGGGACUGAGACACGGCCCAGACUCCUAGGGGAGGGAGGAGUGGGGAAUAUUGGAAAAUGGGCGACAGCCUGAUCCAGCAAUGCCGGGUGAGUGAUGAAGGCCUUAGGGUUGUAAAGCUGUUUUACACGGGAUGAUAAUGACAGUACCGGGAGAAUAAGCACCGGCUAACUCCGUG
rnacentral:rRNA from 1 species